UACGUAGGGGGCAAGCGUUGUCCGGAUUUAUUGGGCGUAAAGAGCGUGUAGGCGGCUUGGAAGGUCAGCUGUGAAAACUCGAGGCUCAACCUCGAGACGUCGGUUGAAACCACCUGGCUAGAGUCCGGAAGAGGAGAGUGGAAUUUCCGGUGUAGCGGUGAAAUGCGCAGAUAUCGGGAAGAACACCCGUGGCGAAGGCGGCUCUCUGGGACGGUACUGACGCUGAGACGCGAAAGCGUGGGGAGCGAACAGG
rnacentral:rRNA from 1 species